CUUUGUCCAGCGUUACUAAACUGCCACAAAACCAGCCAAUCACAGACAUCCACACACUACUUCUGAUUGGCUGUUUCUCCUCCAAUCAAGUGGCACUACUAUCGACCGCUUAACGGAAGCGUUGUAAAUAAAGCUGGAUAAGUAAAGCGAGCGAGUUGAAUUUUUAUACGACUUGUCUUCGAAAAAAAAAAUCCUGAGGUUUUGCCUCCAAUCAGGCUUUUUCAAAAUAGAGGAGCCGCGGGAGAUUUUAUGUGCUGAAGAACAUGACAGAGCAGAACAACGAAAACAGCAAUACUCCACCUCAGCAUCAGGGUCAUGGCACAGUUGAGUCCGCUGCCAGAAACUUGUUGUCAUUAUUACUGAACACAAUGGCCACAAACAGUGUCCAAAGGCCUGCAGAGACUGUACAACCACAGCCAAGAAAUGUAA